rnacentral:rRNA from 1 species
UACGAAGGGGCUAGCGUUGCUCGGAAUCACUGGGCGUAAAGGGUGCGUAGGCGGGUCUUUAAGUCGGGGGUGAAAUCCUGGAGCUCAACUCCAGAACUGCCUUCGAUACUGGAAGACUUGAGUCCGGGAGAGGUGAGUGGAACUGCGAGUGUAGAGGUGAAAUUCGUAGAUAUUCGCAAGAACACCCGUGGCGAAGGCGGCUCUCUGGAACGCAACUGACGCUGAGACGCGAAAGCGUGGGGAGCAAACAGGG